AUGAAUUGGUUCUAAAAAACUUGUCUUAUUCUGACAUUAACUUUUUAUUUUUCUUGCCAUUUCGAUUUUUAUGUUGUAAUUUGAGAUUUGGAAUUUGUACUUAGGUUUGAUUAUUAAUUAGUAAGUGAUAAUCUUAAAAAAUAGGACAGACAGAGAAGAGAGAGAAAUUGAGACUAAUCGAAAUCUGAUAGUUGGAAUGUUGGAAAUGAAAAGCUGACAUUUUUUUUCUUCAUUGAAAUCUCCUACUUUUUUUUUUCCUGUGUUUAUUUUGGGGUUGAUCUUCUGAUCAAUUUCUCAAAAUCGAUCAAGAUUACCAUAUUGGAACUGAGUUUGAUGAAGGAGUAGUGGGGCUUUGAGAAUUUUCGGUUUUUGAUUUGACCGAGGAGAGAGAAUGGAGGAGAUUAGAAGGAGAUAGAAAGCGAUGAACGGUGGCGACGGAGGUGGCGGAGGUGGCGAUGGUGAUGUUUCCGGCGUUGGACCACCGCCAUCUCCGUUGGGCUAGAAAUUCUCUCAUGUCUUCGGUGAAAGAGCAGCCGGUGAGGAAGUUCAGGAAGCUGACCCUUCUUUGUGAGGGUUCAGGGACUCGCAACUCAUCAUCCUCAAAGAUCGGCACUAUUAAGGAUAAACAUAGUAACAUGGGAGGAAAUAUAUGUUUAGCUCAGCGCCUCAGCUUAGUUAGUGAGCUAGAAACGUUUUGAACGGCCUGCUAAUUGAGUAAUUUAGUAGAGAAAGUAAUGUGAGGUAUGUUACGAAUUUUCUGUACUAAUCUAUUAAAAAGACUAUAUGAGUUAUAUAAACAAUUUUUCAUCAACAAAAGUAUGCGAUUAUUACUAAAAAAAUGUAAACUUAUAACAGAAAAUUGUAGUUUUUUCCUUUUACAGGCUAGGCAAGUUUGAAAAAACUUCCUUGUAGACGAGGUUCUUUGUGUGUUUUUUGUAUUUCUGGUACGAAUCAUUGAUAAAGAACUUUAGGCCCUCCGGAGAAGUUGUUCUUGAUGCUGCCACAUAGAGUUGUCCAUGGUAGAAAACAGGCUUCGGUAAGUAUACUCCCACAAAUGAGAGUGAUUGUCCUUGGCUUUUGUUUAUUGUCAUUGCAUAGCAAGGCUUCAAAGCGUAUUGCCUUCUUUUUAAGAUGAAGGGUAGUUUGCUGUCCUUUGAUGUCAUGACAAUUCUGGGUAUUAGGACUUUGUUUCCCUGUUUGGAACCCGUUAUGAUCCUUCCUUCUAUUACAAACUUUCCGAUGUGGGUUAUCAUAAGCCGAGUCCCAUUGCACAGGCCUUGUGGGGGGUUGAUAUUUCUAAGAAGCAUGACCGACAUUCCUUCUUUCAGCUUUAGCUCAUGGUGGGGUAAACCUGGUAACUUUAGGCUGUUCAAAUAUUCUGUUGGGUAUGCAUUGAACUGUGUGUCACAUUCGGCUGAAGAUAAGCAUAUUUCAUCGCGGCUUUUGUAGGUCCUUUCUUCUAUGGGUAAGAGACCCAUUAUGUAUUCGUUUAUGGUGUCCGUGGUUUCAUUUAAGGGUGUGAGUAUAGCCCUUUCCCUUAAAUAGUUGUUGUCACUUUUCCUCAGUUGAAAAUCUGGGUAAAUUGUCUCCACGAUCCCGUCAAUUUCCGAUAUUUCCACUUCUGCUAUAUAUUCACUUGGUAUUUCAAUCCAUGUUCCUUCAGCUUCGUGGUCCUCAGAUUGUGCUUCAAGCCUCCCGUCACCCAUAGCUAAAAUCCAUUCAUUGAACCUCUUGUUUUUAUGGUGGUUCUCUGCGUUUGUGUUCCCUUCUCGUACCCUCAUGCUUUGUUUGAGAAUGAAAACAUUGCAUUCAUUCCAAAUGUAGGAUCUGUUGAUCGAUGCUUGAACAAUAUCCUGUCUUCCUCCUUUUGGGAUGAUGGGUAAUACCUGCCUAAAGUCUCCUCCAAGUAAUACUACCUUCCCACCAAACAACUUAGAUGCUGAUUCACAGUUCUUAUCUCCCAUAAUAUCCCUUAGAGUGCGAUCAAUUGCUUCAAAUGCAAACCUGUGGUCCAUAGGGGCUUCGUCCCAUAUAAUCAGCGAUGUAUGUCAGAUGAGUUCAGCUAGUUGUGAUUUGCGGCUGAUGUUACACGUGGAAUUCUCUAGGAGGUCAAUCGGUAUCUCAAAUCUGCUAUGUGUUGUUCUUCCUCCGGGCAGCAGUAGGGCAGCAAUACCUAAGAAGAUACAGUAAAAUUAAUAUAUCCUAUCAUGUGAUACAAUCAUUUAUGCUUUUUGUCAAAUAUUGGUAGGCAAUGUAAUUAGAUAAUAACAUAACUCUAAGAUAGAUAGAUGGCUGACUUGAUGAUGCAACAUUUAGAACUAUUUUGCGAUCAUCACGUUGCUUAGCGGUGAUGGUGCAGUACAUGAAUGUUUUUCCUGUCCCUCCAUGGCCGUACACGAAAAAUGUCUCCCUCGUUUCUUUUUCGACAUCUUGCACCACUCUGUUGUAAACAUCUAACUUCUAUUUGUUUAGCCUUUUUAUUCUAUCGGACCAAUCUGCUUGUAGUUGUCUGGUGUCGUAGAGUCUUUCUUAAGCUUGUUUUCUAUGCAAUCUACUUCCGUGAGAUCAGGUUGUGGCAUAUCUUUGAAAUCAGACAACGAUUUUCCGAAUUUCACCAGGAUUCUAUCGAUUUCAAUGAGGGUGUAUGUCCUGAUCUGAUCUUCCGAGAGUAUAAGAUCUGGAUGUUUAAAUAACCUCCUUUUCUUCUGCUGUAUGUCAUCUGAAAGAUCCUUGAAGCUGAUCUCCCAUAAGUUUUGCAUGUCAGUUACUUCGCAGAAUAACAGUAGGGUUACAAAGAGUUCUCUAAGCUGUGAUGGCAUUGCCCAUUGGUUUGCAUCUUUUAUAGCAUCGUGCCACUCUUUGUCAUUGUUAAGUAGGCCCAACACAUAGCACGCUUCCUUGCACGUAGGAUGCACAUGACCAUCCACUUUUCUAAUAUCUUGGAAGGAUCCACUGCCCCUGACAAUGUUGAGCAUAAGGCGUAGGUAGUACCUUUCUCCUGCUGAAGGGUGCACGUAUGCGAUUCUGCCGAUGCUUUUUCCGAGUUGUCUCUUCUCCCAUGUCUUUGUCCUUUUUUAUUUCCAAAUUCGUCGACCUGAUUAGUUGUUGUCCAAACAUAUUCUGUCGGAAAUUCUGUAUAUGUCAGUGACCUUGCAUGUUCGUCUACAACAUUUAUUUUCAUCCAUUCAGUGAGCAUCGUGGCAUUGAUAUCUUCUCUGUUUAUGAUAAAGUUCAAAUUGUUAUUAUCUCUUAUCACAACUGCUUGUUCUCCUUCUAAGUGAACCGGCAGACGUAUGACCGCCGGACUUCUUUCCUGGAUUUCAAACUCGAAAAUUAUCCAUGCGGCCUCGCACGCUGAGAUGUACCUACAGUCGAGGGAUCUCUGCUAGAAUGAUACUGUCUAUAAAUUGCGGACUGAGCUCUACUCCUUCUUCACUUAACCAUAGAAGUAUAUGAGCAUGAGACAGCUUCUGUUCUAUUGCUUAUCUCUGAUGCAGUGUCAUAUAUAUAUAGUUGUGCAAAUGCUGGCCUUUUUUCGUCAACUGGGAGAAGAGACCCUAUGAGAUGAUGAUUUUGCCCAC